CCUGAUAGCUCAGCUGGUAAAAGAAUCUGCCUGCAAUGCAGGAUACCCAGCUUCAAUUCCUGGGUCAGGA
rnacentral:tRNA from 1 species